rnacentral:rRNA from 1 species
UAGGGAAUAUUGGUAAUGGGCGAAAGCCUGAACUAGCAACACCGCGUGUGCGAAGAAGGCCUUCGGGUUGUAAAGCACUUUUUGAGAGGAUGAGGAAGGACAGUACUCUCAGAAUAAGUCUCGGCUAACUACGUGCCAGCAGCCGCGGUAACACGUAGGAGGCAAACGUUAUCCGGAUUUACUGGGCGUAAAGCGCGUGUAGGUGGUUUGGUAAGUAGAGCGUGAAAGCUCCUGGCUCAACUGGGAGAGGUCGUUCUAAACUGCCGGACUAGAGGAUGGUAGAGGGAGGUGGAAUUCCGGGUGUAGCGGUGGAAUGCGCAGAUAUCCGGAGGAACACCAGUGGCGAAAGCGGCUUGCUGGGCUGCAACUGACGCUGAAGCACGAAAGUGUGGGGAGCAAACA